ACUAAUCAAAGACAAUAAUAUACUACCAAAAAUACUGAAUUGUCCCUCUCACCCUUAAUUUUUUUGUUUUUGUUGUGUUGAAUAAGUGGGGGUAUUACUGUCAUAUUUGGCAUAAAAUUGUAUCCAUCCUCCUCACAGAAAAAUUACAACUCUACCGAAAAUGCCCUUUUGCAACUUUUAUGCCUUCUCAACUCACAAAAUUUAAAAUCCUCAUCAUAGAAGUAUUAGAAAGCAAAUUCAAAUAUGAAGGGUGUUUUUGGUAUUGCAUAAUAGAUUUACACACUGAUCAAGAUCAGUUUGAUGGGACAAAAUGGAGUUUGAAGUAGUAUUGUAUUGCCUUUUAGGAAGACAAGUACAAUCACCUUUUUCAUAAACUUUUCUUCUUUGUUUUUCUUCUUUUCUUCUUUGCUGAGAAGAAAUGAUGCAAGACAAACAUCAAAAGGUUUUAUUUUUCUAUUACCCACUCAUGUCUUUCUCCAUUCUAUUUUAUAGUUGAUUCACUGAUUCAUUCUCCUUCUGAUUUUUUUGUAAUUUUUUAUUUUUAUUUUUUUAGAAGCAAGCAAUAUCCAUGGAGACUGACAAGACCAAG